rnacentral:rRNA from 1 species
GAACGCUGGCGGNUGCUUACACAUGCAAGUCGAACGGCAGCACGGGAGCUUGCUCCUGGUGGCGAGUGGCGGACGGGUGAGUAACGCGUAGGAAUCUACCCAGUGGUGGGGGACAACCCGAGGAAACUCGGGCUAAUACCGCAUGAGCCCUACGGGGGAAAGCGGGGGAUCUUCGGACCUCGCGCCAUUGGAUGAGCCUGCGUCGGAUUAGCUUGUUGGUGAGGUAAUGGCUCACCAAGGCGACGAUCCGUAGCUGGUCUGAGAGGAUGAUCAGCCACACUGGGACUGAGACACGGCCCAGACUCCUACGGGAGGCAGCAGUGGGGAAUAUUGGACAAUGGGCGAAAGCCUGAUCCAGCAAUGCCGCGUGUGCGAAGAAGGCCCUCGGGUUGUAAAGCACUUUCAGUUGGGAAGAAAGCUUCAGCGUUAAUACCGCUGAAGGGUGACGUAACCAACAGAAGAAGCACCGGCUAACUCUGUGCCAGCAGCCGCGGUAAUACAGAGGGUGCGAGCGUUAAUCGGAAUUACUGGGCGUAAAGGGCGCGUAGGCGGCUUGGUAAGUCGGAUGUGAAAGCCCCGGGCUUAAC